CCCUUAGAUGUUCUGGGCAGCACGCGCGCUACGAUGGUCUUCGCAAACGGAUGCAUUCUCGAAGGAGAAUGCCAAUCUUGGAAUCUAUGCCUUGGUCGGGACAGUUGCUUGCAAUUUUUCGACUCGAACCAGGAAUUCCUUGUAAUCGUGAUUCAUCACAUCACGAUGAAUACGUCCCUGCCCUUUGUACACACCGCCCGUCGCUCCUACCGAUCGAAGAGUUAGGUGAAUUGUUUUGAUCGAUAAGAUUUGACUAUGGUCAACUCUCGUUGUGAAAUUCUGUGAAUCUGACUGUUUAGAGGAAGGAAAAGUCGUAACA
rnacentral:rRNA from 1 species